rnacentral:rRNA from 1 species
ACGUAGGCAGCGAGCGUUGUUCGGAAUUACUGGGCGUAAAGCGCACGUAGGCGGCUUUGCAAGUCAGAGGUGAAAGCCCGGGGCUCAACCCCGGAAUUGCCUUUGAGACUGCAUCGCUUGAACAUCGGAGAGGUAAGUGGAAUUCCGAGUGUAGAGGUGAAAUUCGUAGAUAUUCGGAAGAACACCAGUGGCGAAGGCGACUUACUGGACGAUUGUUGACGCUGAGGUGCGAAAGCGUGGGGAGCAAACAGGA